rnacentral:rRNA from 1 species
GAUGAACGCUGGCGGCGUGCCUAACACAUGCAAGUCGAGCGAUUCUCUUCGGAGAAGAGCRGCGGACGGGUGAGUAACGCGUGGGUAACCUGCCUCAUACACAUGGAUAACAUACCGAAAGGUAUGCUAAUACAGGAURAUAUAAGAGAUUCGCAUGGAUUUYUUAUCAAAGCUCCGGCGGUAUGAGAUGGACCCGCGUCUGAUUAGCUAGUUGGUAAGGUAAUGGCUUACCAAGGCGACGAUCAGUAGCCGACCUGAGAGGGUGAUCGGCCACAUUGGAACUGAGACACGGUCCAAACUCCUACGGGAGGCAGCAGUGGGGAAUAUUGCACAAUGGGCGAAAGCCUGAUGCAGCAACGCCGCGUGAGUGAUGAAGGCCUUCGGGUCGUAAAACUCUGUCCUCAAGGAAGAUAAUGACGGUACUUGAGGAGGAAGCCCCGGCUAACUACGUGCCAGCAGCCGCGGUAAUACGUAGGGGGCUAGCGUUAUCCGGAUUUACUGGGCGUAAAGGGUGCGUAGGUGGUUUCUUAAGUCAGGAGUGAAAGGCUACGGCUCAACCGUAGUAAGCUYUUGAAACUGGGAAACUUGAGUGCAGGAGAGGAAAGUGGAAUUCYUAGUGUAGCGGUGAAAUGCGUAGAUAUUAGGAGGAACACCAGUAGCGAAGGCGGCUUUCUGGACUGUAACUGACACUGAGGCACGAAAGCGUGGGGAGCAAACAGGAUUAGAUACCCUGGUAGUCC